rnacentral:lncRNA from 1 species
AAAAGAGAACGGAGAAAGAAACGAAAAAAAGAAAAAAGACAAAAAAAAAGGAAAAAGAAAAACCUGCGGGCGAAAACAGAGAAAAAGAAACAAGAAAAAAAGAGAGAAGAGAAAGAAAAACGGGAGAGGAACGGGGAGAGCGAGGAAAAAAUAAAGAACAAAAAUAAACGAAAACGGAAGGAAGGAAUGAGAGAAAAACGAAAAAUAAUAAAAAAGAAAAUAAGAAAGAAAAAAGGUAAAGGAAGGUAGGAAAAGAUGAACGAAAAAAAAUGAAGAAAUAAAAUAAAAUAAGGGAAGAAACCAGGCAGGAAAACCAUCGGGAAGAUGGGAACGAAAGAAGAAAUAAACGGGAAGGAAUGAAAGGAAGGAUGGAAAAUCACGGGAACGAAAAGGAAAGCUGGAGAAAGCGCGAGCGAGGAAGGAAGGAAACGAAGGAAAACAAAGAGAGGAGGUGAGAAGGAAGGAGAGAGGAGGAAAUAAAUGAAGAAGGGACCGGUUAAGGAGGGAAGGAGCAGGACGGGAGGAGGCGAGGGGAGCGCCCGCUGCGCCCUUCCCCAGCGCGCUGCGCCCGAAGUUUGCCCCCGGGGGGGGUUCGCCGCUGAAUUUCCACGCCGGGGAGAGACCUCGGGGAGGGUCGGGGCCGGGGGUCACGGCCCCGGUACCGGCCCCGAUACCUGCCCCGGGCGGGGGGGGCCGGCAAUUCCCCCCCGCGCUGCGCCCCGGAGCCGCGCGGCAGAGCCGCGUUCCCACGGACUUGUUCCCGAGGGAACGCACGGAGAAGCGGCGUCGCUUGUAGAAGAUGUCGAUGGAAUUUACACCCUAAAAAUAAUAAUAAUAAAAAAAUCCCCUUUCAAGAAUAAAGUGUAUCAACUUACAACACAACAGACGGCAGAGGGAUAAGUGAAACAGACAAAAGACAAACAAGAUAAUAAUCUGUUUCCAAUCAGUUAAGCCCUGUAGAAUUUGUAAUACGCGGUUUGCAUAUUCCCCCGGUGUUUUGUAAUUAAUUAUCUAGCUGCUAGGAUGCUCCGCCGCCGACUUGGUGGAGGUUUUCCCCGAUUUCCCCUAUUUUCGGGUGCAGCGCGGAGCGGGGCCAGAGGAUGCCGCAGCCGCCCCCUCCUCUCCCCGGUAAAAGGGGGCCGGGGCCGUUUUAACAUUAAACAAACCCAGCAAGCAUCUCGUCGCCGGGCCAUAGGCGUUUCUGAGUGACUGCGUUACAAAUUGUAAAUUUAAAUAGCUCACAGGAUUCAUUACCUCCCGCGUCUGAUUUCACCCAGCCGUGAAAAAUUGUCCUGGUGUACCACUGAGAAAGGGUUUGCUGCAAAGAGCCACAGCCUAAUCACCAGCUUUCUCUCUCCAACAAAAGUGUAAUUAUUUUGUUUUGGGUGUAAAUAUAACCCACGGUACAAAAAAAAAAAAAAAAAAAAAGAAAAAAAAGAAAGAAAGGAAGAAAGAAAAAAAAAAAAGAUAAACCUCCAGCAGCGUCUGAAUGCAUUGCGGGGCCGUUUAGAAAGAUCCGUCCUAAAUUAAUACCAAGGUUAAAAGGGGACGUGGAAAUUUCCGAGAGGUGCGGGGUGCUGGGGGGGGUGCGGAGCCGCGGAGCCCCGAGAACAGCCGCAGCCCCCCCGGAGCCCCCCAGCCCCCAGGUGGGGAGGGACCCCAACACGGGAGGGACCCCAACGCCAACCCCAAGCCCCCAGGAUGGGCUCCGGUGCCCCCUCGGUUUCUCCGUGCCCCCCCAGAUCCCCUCCUCUCUUCCCCUUUUCGGUACCGGGGAGCCCGGCUCGGGGGGGGGUUUGCUCGCCGCGGGUGUUUUUGUGCACAGCGGGGGAGGGAACACACAAAUAAACAAUCAAACCAACCCA